rnacentral:lncRNA from 1 species
UUGGGUUUUAUUUUUAAAACACUCCAAAUUUUCACACUUUCUUAUUGUAAUCCUUCUUGUCAAUUCCUUAAAUUUAUCACUUCCUAAUGAUUUUGUAAAUAAAUCUGCCAAUUGAUUCAUUUAUAUAUCUUAACUAACUCUCUAACAUAAUGAUAAAGAUCCAUUCAGGUUCCGAUACAAUUACAAGACAUAGAUUAAAAAUAGUCAUCACUCAUCUAUAAGUUAUAGGCAGUUUCGUCGCUCGGAGGAGAUCAGCCGUCACUCAGACCCCUCUGUUGUUUCUUCCACCUAACAUAGAUAAUAAACAAUCUACAUCUGAAUUGCCGCCUAACACAACCGUGUAUGCAAACAACUCCAACAACCAAUUUUGAUAUAUGGGUUGUAGUCAGAGCACCGUUCGAAAACCAAGUUUCAUCUUCGACUCUCAACUGAGACGUAAAUUUUUGGAUGACACCAAUGACGUAGUGGAGAACAUUCCCCGCUUGUUCAAUGUGCUCUCAGAAAGUAGUACGAAGAAAGUAGAGCAGGAGAAUAGAAAGACGAAAGAUAAAAAGUUAUUUGAUACGGAAGAACUUGUUGUAUUUCUAUUCUCCUGCUUUGCUUUCUUGGUACUAAUUUCUGAGAGAACAUUGAACAAGCGGGGAAUGUUGUCCAUGGCUUUCUCGAGCAUGGUACAUAUCUCUAUUACCUCAUUGGUGUCAUACGAGAAUUGACGUACCAGUUUGUUGUUCUUCGUGUUGUCAUGAUUUUGGUCGAAGAAUGCUUCGAACUGCACAUCGUCUCUUUGGAGUUGGACGACGGAAGAUGAAACUUCGUUUCAGACGAUUCACGUUUUG